rnacentral:rRNA from 1 species
GACGAACGCUGGCGGCGUGCUUAACACAUGCAAGUCGAACGCUGAAGCACCAGCUUGCUGGUGUGGAUGAGUGGCGAACGGGUGAGUAAUACGUGAGUAACCUGCCCUUGACUCUGGGAUAAGCCCGGGAAACUGGGUCUAAUACUGGAUGCUACAUGUCACCGCAUGGUGGUGUGUGGAAAGGGAUUACUGGUCUUGGAUGGGCUCACGGCCUAUCAGCUUGUUGGUGAGGUAAGGGCUCACCAAGGCGACGACGGGUAGCCGGCCUGAGAGGGUGACCGGCCACACUGGGACUGAGACACGGCCCAGACUCCUACGGGAGGCAGCAGUGGGGAAUAUUGCACAAUGGGCGAAAGCCUGAUGCAGCGACGCCGCGUGAGGGAUGACGGCCUUCGGGUUGUAAACCUCUUUCAGCAGGGAAGAAGCCACAAGUGACGGUACCUGCAGAAGAAGCGCCGGCUAACUACGUGCCAGCCGCCGCAGUAA